AGGGUACAAGAUGUAAUGCCUGUUGGGUCAUGUCCUGCUGUAGACUCUUCUGCAUCAUGUCAGUCAGAGGAUGACAUCAGUUAUAACACUCUGACCAGACAAGCUACUGCUAUUAUGUUGACUGCAAGAGAAAAACACCAUCUUUCACAGAGAGGUGUGAAUGAUGUCUUGGCUGCAAUGCAGCAAUAUCAAGCCCUGUUGGUGACUAAUCUGAGGAGUCAGCUACAAACUCUAUUCCAGCAACAUCAAGGAAGUGAACUUGAAAAGGAAGCGAUGGCAGUAUUCGACCGGAUUGAGGAUCCAUUUUCCUCUGUUGCAACAACAUACAGGCAGGACAACGUGAUUAAGGAAAAUUUAAAUUUUGUGGAGUCAGAGGAGGUUACUGUUGGGUAUACUGCCUGCUUGAAGAAAAAAGGGACAAAAAGGGUCCUCUCCACAAGAACCAAAUGUUUUCAUUACGUACCUCUGAUUAAAAGUUUAGAACAGUUAUUGUCCCAUCCAAAAGUUUUAGAAAUGAUAGAUCAGCCGCAAAAAUACAGAAGUGGUGGUUAUCUGUAUGACAUCAUAGAUGGAG